UACGGAGGAUCCGAGCGUUAUCCGGAUUUAUUGGGUUUAAAGGGUGCGUAGGCGGUUUGAUAAGUUAGAGGUGAAAUGUCGGGGCUCAACCCCGAAACUGCCUCUAACACUGUUGGACUAGAGAAUAGUUGCGGUAGGCGGAAUGUAUGGUGUAGCGGUGAAAUGCUUAGAGAUCAUACAGAACACCGAUUGCGAAGGCAGCUUACCAAACUAUAUCUGACGUUGAGGCACGAAAGCGUGGGUAGCAAACAGA
rnacentral:rRNA from 1 species